rnacentral:rRNA from 1 species
UAGGGAAUCUUCCACAAUGGGCGAAAGCCUGAUGGAGCAACGCUGCGUGUGUGAUGAAGGGUUUCGGCUCGUAAAACACUGUUGUAAGAGAAGAAUGACAUUGAGAGUAACUGUUCAAUGUGUGACGGUAUCUUACCAGAAAGGAACGGCUAAAUACGCGCCAG